rnacentral:lncRNA from 1 species
AAAGAAGCUCUGCCUUGCUCAGCCACAGGCACAUCUGAACAGCGCACACAGUGACACAGUCAGGCCCUGAGGGGAAGAUGGGUUCCUGUACACUGUCGGUAAAUACGCUGAUACAUCUUUUCCAGGAGAGGAGGCGAAUUCCUUUCCCUCAGCCUGGCAGUGGUGCGAACGUAUGGCACAUGCGCUGCAGAGGGCUGUUUGUGUUACUGAGAGCUCUAAAAGUUUUGCCAUCACUGGCCUGGCUCUAGCCAGCCUUUACUCCACUGUGUACCACUGUGAUGACUUGGCAGGAGUUGUGCUCCUGUCCCAAAACCUCUCCUGGGGGUGAGGGAACUUUUCUGUGGCUCUUUACAUGAGAUAGAAAUACCUUUCUGCUGGCCACCAGCAGUAGCUGUGGAAGAACCUGCCCUCAGGUCCUCUGCGAAUGAGGAAGUGAGGAGGCUUUUAUGUCUC